GAUGAAGAACGUAGCGAACUGCGAUAAGUAAUGUGAAUUGCAGAAUUCAGUGAAUCAUCGAGUCUUUGAACGCACAUUGCGCCCCCUGGCAUUCCGGGGGGCAUGCCUGUCCGAGCGUCAUUGCUACCCUUCAAGCCCGGCUUGUGUGUUGGGUCGUCGUCCCCCCCGGGGGACGGGCCCGAAAGGCAGCGGCGGCACCGCGUCCGGUCCUCGAGCGUAUGGGGCUUUGUCACCCGCUCGAUUAGGGCCGGCCGGGCGCCAGCCGGCGUCUCCAACCUUUUAUUUUACCAGGUUGACCUCGGAUCAGGUAGGGAUACCCGCUGAACUUAAGCAUAUCAAUAAGCGGAGGA
rnacentral:misc_RNA from 1 species